CUCUUUUUUUUUACAUGAGUAUCCCCUGGAUGGGCGUGUGAUCUAAGAAGUCAUGCUUCUAAAUCACUAGUCCUUCAACACUGAGAUCGAACCCCGCACGUAACAGGUGCGUUCGACUCAAAUCUUAAUUGGUAAGGAUUGUCAGUUUUCCUGUCGACACUCCGCCUUUUCCCACUGACCGCCUGCAUUUUACUAGUAGUCAAUAGCUAUAGAAGUUGGCUAGCUUGAACACCCCAAAACUCUACUAAUCUUUUCUUUAGGGGGAAAGUGGCCUUAAAUGUCGUCACCAGAACGAAUCAUUUUUGAAAAAAGAGUUCUUUGGUGUUUUAUGUUCUUAUACAUGUAUUAAGGUGGUACCUAACACUUUAACUAAAUUUAAUUUGUCUCGUUUAAUUUUCUUAAUAUUUUGACAAAUUAUUUACUUUGACCCUUUGACAAAAAUAUAAAAAUUUCAAAAAAUUUGAACCAACCGUUUAAUCAGAAAAAUUACACUGGUUAUAUAGCAGUUUGACAAACACUUAUUUUGAUCAUUGAGAAGCUUGAUAUUCCCUUAAGAA
rnacentral:lncRNA from 1 species